rnacentral:rRNA from 1 species
UGGGGAAUUUUGGACAAUGGGGGAAACCCUGAUCCAGCCAUCCCGCGUGUGCGAUGAAGGCCUUCGGGUUGUAAAGCACUUUUGGCAGGAAAGAAACGUCGCGGGUUAAUACCCCGCGAAACUGACGGUACCUGCAGAAUAAGCACCGGCUAACUACGUGCCAGCAGCCGCGGUAAUACGUAGGGUGCAAGCGUUAAUCGGAAUUACUGGGCGUAAAGCGUGCGCAGGCGGUUCGGAAAGAAAGAUGUGAAAUCCCAGAGCUUAACUUUGGAACUGCAUUUUUAACUACCGGGCUAGAGUGUGUCAGAGGGAGGUGGAAUUCCGCGUGUAGCAGUGAAAUGCGUAGAUAUGCGGAGGAACACCGAUGGCGAAGGCAGCCUCCUGGGAUAACACUGACGCUCAUGCACGAAAGCGUGGGGAGCAAACAGGAUUAGAUACCCUGGUAGUCCACGCCCUAAACGAUGUCAACUAGCUGUUGGGGGCCUUCGGGCCUUGGUAGCGCAGCUAACGCGUGAAGUUGACCGCCUGGGGAGUACGGUCGCAAGAUUAAAACUUAAAUGAAUUGACGGGGUCAUAGCUG